GACUCAACGAUCUGCAUGGUGUUGAAU
rnacentral:piRNA from 1 species